rnacentral:rRNA from 1 species
UUCCAGACUCCUACGGGAGGCAGCAGUGGGGAAUAUUGCACAAUGGGGGGAACCCUGAUGCAGCGACGCCGCGUGGGUGAAGGAGUGCUUCGGCAUGUAAAGCCCUAUCGGCAGGGAAGAAGCAAGACGGUACCUGACUAAGAAGCCCCGGCUAACUACGUGCCAGCAGCCGCGGGAAUACGUAGGGGGCGAGCGUUAUCCGGAUUUACUGGGUGUAAAGGGAGCGUAGACGGCGGCGCAAGUCCGGAGUGAAAGCCCACGGCCCAACCGUGGGACUGCCCUGGAAACUGUGCGGCUUGAGUGCGGGAGGGGCAGGCGGAAUUCCUAGUGUAGCGGUGAAAUGCGUAGAUAUUAGGAGGAACACCGGUGGCGAAGGCGGCCUGCUGGACCGUAACUGACGUUGAGGCUCGAAAGCGUGGGGAGCAAACAGGAUUAGAUACCCCGGUA